CCUACACGACCUGUUUCAGAGCCUUCAUGUUCACACCCCAUAGUCAAGGUAAUUGGAGGCUGAUCUAUGCUUGUUACACAAACCUGAGAAGUUCCAACAUCUUUAGCUGCAGCUUCCAACUCCUCUGGUGGCUUGGAGCUGUCUACAGGUUGUGCGUCAGACAAGCCUACAACACUAUCACCUCCUAUGGUCAAAGUAACCAGAGGUUGAUCCAUGUUUCCAGAAACAUUCUCUGGCAGCAUUACACAAAUCUGAGAAGUCUCACCAACUUUAGCUUCACAUUCUGGCUCCUCUUUAGCUGCAGAUUUCAACUCCUCUGGUGGCUUGGAGCUGUCUAUAGGUUGUGCCUCAGACAAGCCUACAACAUUAUCACCUCCCAUGGUCAGAUUAACCAGAGGCUGAUCCAUGUUUCCAGAAACAUUCUCUGGCAGCAUUUCACAAAUCUGAGAAGUCUCACCAACUAUAGCUUCACAAUCCAUGUUUCCAGAAACAUUCUCCGGCAGUGUUUCACAGAUCUGAGAAGUCUCACCAACUUUAGCUUCACAAUCCAUGUUUCCAGAAACAUUCUCUAGCAGCGUUUCAGAGAUCUGAGAAGUCUCACCAACUUUAGCUUCACAUUCUGACUCCUCAGGUGACUUGGAGCAUCCUAGAGGCUCCGGCUCAGACAAAGCUGCAACACUAUCACACCCAUUGCCCAAGACCAA
rnacentral:lncRNA from 1 species